CUUUAUACAGGAUGUUAUAAAAGGCUUACAAAUAUUACUGACACAAUGAUUUGAAUUUUCAAGUACGAG